GGACUGUCCAAUUGGGACCUCCAAGAAAGGCAAAGUAGACGGUAGCCAAUCAAAAGGCAGUGCCCCACGCCUCGCGAUAAGCCUUCGGGGCGUGCAGGGAACUGUUGUCGCCAUGGUGACCAGUAUUACAGCCCGCCCUCAUUGACGACGCUGAUUUGUGACGUAUAUGCACGGACAGCGCUUGCGUUAACCCUGCCCUCGCUAUUGCUUGGAGCCUAAGACUGACCGCUGCAGAAACCAAUCCAUGCUGGAAAAGAAACGGGCGGCAGUAGGGCGACGUGCAAAGGAAGCUCCGCAGAGCAGCUUGGAUAAGUACAUCAGUGAUCAACUUUAGUCUGUACAGCAACACGUCUUUCUCCUCAUCAGAGCAUUCUAUCUCUAAGUCUUGGAACAAAGAAGGAGCCAGGCUUACAGAUGGAGGAUGCAGACAGGGGUGAAGGAUCAGCCCAUCACUUUGAAAGUGCAUGUCGGGAAUGUGCCAAAGAGGAACCAGAGGACAUAUUGCUAUCUGUGUCAGUUAAAGGAACCAGACAUGUCUUGGCCAGAAGGGGGCUAUCAGAAUAACUCUCACUUUGGUUCGUCAAAUUUUCAACAGGAUCUUGGAUAGAAGAGGAAAUGGAAGAAAGACACACAAGAGGUCCCUCUUCCAUAGGAAGAUGAGAGCGUCACCCAGUGAAUGUUUCCCCAGGCUGGCCCUGGAACAGUAAUGAGGACAUUUCUUGUUCCGGUGUGCAGCUACAACAGAGAGAACCUUGGAGAAUGCUCUGGAUGCAGAUGAGAGGUUGAAUGGGAGCACUCUGUACUGACAAUGGUCCUGCCCAAAGGAUGGGGUCUCCAGAAGAGGUAUGGAUGGUAAGAGGAAGAGACUGGCUGUGCUAUCUCCUAAUCCACUGCAGAGGGAGACAAACCUGACAAAAAGGACUUGUGGAGAAAAAUGGCACUUGUUAACGUGGGUACCAAAUUAGAGCUUGUGUCAGGGAAAGAAGCCAAUGUGAAAUGCUCUGUUAAUCUAUAAAACAAAUAAGGCCUGGGCAGCCUCAAAUGUUCCCACAUGACUACAUCAAAAUGCCUCAGACUGACUUGAAGAAAUGAUCUCUAAUGGUGAGAGGAUAUUGCAAUUUCUACCCAUUCAGUCCAUGGCAUGUGUACAGAAAUUAUCAGCACAGGAGCUCAAUGUGAUGCAGACAGCAUUUUUUGAAAUAUAAAUAUUUAUAUGUAGGAGCUAGACAGACUACUAAUUUAUUUCACAAAUAAAUCUCACUUAGUCACCAAA